CACAUCUCCUCUUUACCACAAACCAGGAUAGGUGGUACUAUCCUCCCUUAUGGAACAGGAAAGGAGUCUCUCCCUUAAGAAUCUGUUAUUUAAUUGAAGAUAAAGAUGAAGCCUCUGUGUUGUCUUCCUUAAUUGGAUUUCUCUGCUUCCUGGUGUUCAUCCCCUCAGGGAACACAUGACCCAAACACAACCACCAACUGUGUCUUUGACAUGUACAGGCGGAAAGGGGGAGCUGGGCUUUUGUCUGCCGGGAGUCUUUCAACUCGCCUGUCACCCCAAGCUGCAAAACUCAACAAUGGGUCGGAUGAGCAGGACCACAGCAGACAGUUUGCUAAAUGGACUUGGGAACAGGUACUAUUUCCACCCACGUCGGGCUGAUUUGGUGCAUCUGCACUGUAGUGCUUUGGUCAGUGAAGGUGAUGACAACAGAAGUGGUGAAGAAAGUGCUUACGGCCAACAUCUACUGGGUUCUUGCCACGUGCCAGGCACUUCCCUAACUGCUUUGCACGGACACGCCAGGCUAACCCUACAAUAACCCCGAGAAUGUGACAGCAGUUUCUCAAAUGUUUGUUGAAUGAACAGAAGAACAACCCAAGGAGGCAGGUACUAUUAUCACUCCCCAUUCUACAGAUGAGGGAGCAGAGGCCCUCCCGGAUGACUGACUUUCUGAAGGUCUCAAAGGUAGCAAACAGCAGAGGCAGGUUUUGACCCAAUGCUUGCCUCCCAACUGUGGUGCUGCACCAGCUCUACCUGGUAUACCGGGCACAUGGUGCACGUUGACCCCAUUUCACCUCUGCGUGUUCUCCCCAUGUUAGAGCCUCUGCAGCCAGGGUCACUGUGUACCAGGGCCAGGGUCUGUGGGGCAUCCCAAUCCCCUGCUCCUACCAUAGUCGUUCUCAUCAGCAUGCUCAUGUCUGGUCAUGCAUUUUUAAAUUUAGGGUAAGUAGAGCAUUCCUAAGCAGGACCUAUCUCAUGGAGGUGAUGGAAACCCCCUGAAGCAGGAAUGUACAGGCUUGUCAACUGGUUAUGUGGGACCCAGGAAAAUCAUGUGAUUGCAUCGGUGUCGGCUCCUUGGCGGUUUCUCGGAUUCACGAUCCUGGCACAACGGUUAUAAGGAAAGGAGGGUGCACACAGCACACAGUUGGCCCAGCACACAGUGGGUGCAGCACACAGUUGCCCAGCACACCGUGGGCAUAGCACACUAUUGAGUUCAAGAAUUUACCUCCCGGCAUCUGGGCAGUGGGGAAGCUGCAGGGAUGAUCCCUGUCUGCCAGGCCACCUGCUUUGAGGGCUGGUGCCUUUACUCACUACCCACCCUCCAGGCACUGUGUCCUACAGCUGUCCUCUUUGGUAACAUGCAGCCAUUUGUAAAUUACCUGUACAAUUUCUGAUCUGCCCUUAGCUGUAAGCUCCAUAUGGGAAGAGCAAUGUUCAUAUCAGUCACCGCUUUUCUCCCAGCUUCUAACACAGUGCCUGGCCUAAGAUAGGCAUUCAGUAAGUACCAGCUGGGUUGAACUGAACCUCACCACUCCCUUCCUCUGGAAGAGUACAAUCAUAGCUUUAAAGGGCACCAUCCUGUUCCGGGCCUAAGAGAACUUGAAGAGAAAACCCCAGAAGGUUCCUUCUUUGAGAGGCUGUGGUGACCUCCGAGAUGCUCCAGCAAAGGCUCAGAGCCUGGUCCCUAAAGCAAGUGAUGGUGAGUAUGGGGGAUGUCUUCUUCCUCCGCAGAAGGUGCUAAAUGGGGAAGAGAGCUGAGUUUCAGGCUGCUGGGAGUUAGCAGAACUGGAAGUCGUAUCAUUCUGAGUUUCUACUCAUCUGGUCCCACACAGACAUUCCUGGCACCUUGUGCAUGCCUGGCUUGGGGUGAGACCCUGAAGACACAGUGAUGGGAGAUAUGGCUAGUGCUGUUAGGGGUCUGACACCCAUGCUGUCGGCCUUGUGGCAGGGAGUCAGGACAAACAGAAUAGGAGGCACAAUUGCAAAAAUUUAGAAAGACUCCGCAGCCUCUGAAACUUGCCCACAUCUCAUAAUUUUUGUCUCCUCUGAUCGUCCAGGUGAGUAGCACUAGCGCAUAGUCGUGAAGCCGAGGUCAGGCGUAGGUCUGAGGCCUCACUCUGCUGCCCGGGGUAAGGGUCACUGGCUGAGGCUGAGUCAUGUCCUCUGUCACGUGGGGGUGGCGUGUGUCUUCCCCGUGGGGGUUGGUGUAGAGAAUUAAUGAGAACAUGCGUGUGGUAGGUCUGUGCAGACCCUGUGAGCCCGAUUCUUAUUUUAGUGACCAGCUCUGAGUUCUCAGCAGGGGAAGGCAGGCUGAGGGCUGCUGAGGAGGAAGGAACGAGUAUGGAGCUCUGGGAAAGAAGCCCCAGGGAAGGUCCAGGUUCAGGCUCCAGCCGUGCCAGUAGCUUGUGACAAGGGCUCAGCGGGAAGAGGUCUCUAAUAGGAGCAUCUUUUGGAACUUACUUGUUUCUAAACACCACAUGCUUAGCUGGGCUGGAGCAAGUUCCCUCAGGAGGACAAACAGAAGGCAUUGCUGGAAAUCUGAGGGGCCUCGGGCUCUCAGGAGAAUGGGCCCAACUUCUCAGGGGGACCGCUACCAUGCAGGGUCUGGGCCCUCGCCUUACUCACAGGGUGAGAGUAUCCCCCCACCUCCAGCAAUUCUCAGCACCAGCCUUUCUGAGAGCUGGUGGGAGGAGAGUGGACCCACUGUUCCCACACUCCUGCUCCCCUCCCCUCCAGGCAUGAAAAAGGAAGGCUGAGCAAGGUGAAGAAGUUGCCAGUAGAGCCUCAAGGAUCCAGAGCCGCUGGGCGUGGGAAGCCAUGGGCAGUAGGCUGUGGCGGGCGCGUGAGGAACAGCAGAGAUGCGCUGAGCAUGGUGGUGUUCUCUGGACCCCUCAUGACCUCUGCUACUAAGAACAGCCCACCUGACCUGCUCCGGAGACCAUCUGCAGCAGUAUUCCUGGUGUCUUUGUCCACAGGGACAUGAACAUAUGUUCACAGAAGUAAACCUCCAUCCACUCCCUUCUCAACCAUUGAAUGUGAUUGAAAGGUUCACCUGCCAAUAGGUGGGCUGACCCAUGUGACCCUCUGCUGAAAUCCAGCAAAAACAGAAAAGACACAAUCCUCGGCGGAACAUCUUACACUGGAUGAUGAGUUUCCGGUGCUCAUCGCGGGAGUCUUCCAUGGUGUAGAGGGUUUGCUUGGUGAUGCUGUUCAGGUCCACGUUCCUCCAGUCUUCCAGCAUUUGGAAUGUGAUAUCUGCACUGUGGAUCACGGUCCGAGAUGCCUGUAAUCCAAGCCAAUCAACUCAUUAGCUCAAGGGUUGUUAGGUUAAAACCCCUGCGCAUUAUUUUCUUUUUAAUGAAUCUGCAGUGUUCUGCAGCUGUUUUGAAAUUCCGGAACAUUCAAUUUCAGGAAAUCAGAAGACCAUAACUCAGUCCAUAAUUCAGAAGACCCAUACAGUCUUUUCUCUUGGAGGUCUCUUUUCUCAGCUCUAUAAAAAAUUACUCCAAGGUGGCCGAGGCUAGACCAAACCCUGCUGUUCCCAGCCCCUUUGGUCUGGACCCCUGGGGAACAACGGGAUGAAGCCCAGAGAUCUGUCAGCCUUCUGACCUGAGCUUGCAGGAGCUCUGUGCUUAGUAACCCAUGUGUCUCUAGCAUUGGAGAAGCAAUGGGCCUAGAGCUUGGACUGGUCUGUGGGCCUAUGACAACUUUAAUCCCAGCCAUCUUACAAUGUGUAUUUUUUCAUAUACAUGCAUUCUGAAGCAGUUUAUGGUCUAGCUUUCUGUUUUUUGCUUUUUGGUUUUUAGGUGACUACAAUCCAUUUUGCAGGUGACUACAAUAUGAACAACUGAGAGGGAAGAAAAGGGAAACAAAACCCAAAGACUCCAUUGCUCAUUACUGUGCAUGUGAUGCAUGUACGUGCCCAUGCUCACACGCACAUUCAACCUGUGGUUUCCUCAGCAAGCCCUCACAAGUAGAACUUCAGUUUGCAAGUUGGAACAAUACUUGGAACCACCAAGUUGGAACAAAGCUGAUAAAAGCAAAGAAAAACAUUUCCAGAAUCAUUUCCUUUACUUGCAUGUUUUUUAAAAAAAGUCUUUAAUAAAAUGGAAAAAAAAAAAAAAAGAUUUCCGAUACACAUGGCCAUUAAACAUCUCCUAAUGCUUGUGAAUUUCCAGGCAAAGUAAGUACUGACAACCCCUUUUACCUCUAGACUGCCUGAGCACAAGGAACUCUUAUUUAAAUCACUGUAGAAUUCUUUCCAGGUCUGAGGCCUAGAGUAUAUGAAUAUGUGAGUUGGGUCCAUUUCUAAUGAUAAUGAAAACAACUAAAGGUUAAGGUCUGGGAUUCUGGACUCAAAUAUAUUUAAUUCAAAUCCUGGCCUUGCUGCUAACCACCUGACUGUCUUGGGGCAAGCCAGCAGAUUAACCUCAGUUUCCUGAUCAAUAAAAUGGAGGUGUAAUAAUACCUGCCUCUUCAGGAGGACAGCUGUUUGAGGGUUCCUUGAGAUAAUGUUUGAAAAGGGCAGAGUUUAGGGAAUAAAGGCUCACUAAAGGAGCUACCAUUAAUCAGGCCGUUCUCUGUGUGGUGAUGCACAAACACCUCAGGGCUGUGGCACGUGGUGCUGCUGCCCACUGGAGCAUUCCUCUCCCCCCCUGCCAGGCAAUCCUGCCAUCACAUGUGCUCCAACUUCAGAGCCACACCCGUGGAGCCACCUCCUCUAACCACCAUAUCUCAAUCACACUACGUGCCCCGUUAUUCUCUAUUUCUGCUGUUUCCCUCCUAACACUUAGCACUUUUAAUUAAUUAUUUUUUG